rnacentral:rRNA from 1 species
AUUGAACGCUGGCGGAAUGCUUUACACAUGCAAGUCGAACGGCAGCACGGACUUCGGUCUGGUGGCGAGUGGCGAACGGGUGAGUAAUGUAUCGGAACGUGCCCAGUCGUGGGGGAUAACGUAGUGAAAAUUACGCUAAUACCGCAUACGAUCUAUGGAUGAAAGCGGGGGAUCGCAAGACCUCGCGCGAUUGGAGCGGCCGAUAUCAGAUUAGGUAGUUGGUGGGGUAAAGGACCACCUAGCCAACGAUCUGUAGCUGGUCUGAGAGGACGACCAGCCACGCUGGAACUGAGACACGGUCCAGACUCCUACGGGAGGCAGCAGUGGGGAAUUUUGGACAAUGGGCGAAAGCCUGAUCCAGCCAUUCCGCGUGCAGGAUGGAGGCCCUCGGGUUGUAAACUGCUUUUGUACAGAACGAAAAGGUUUCUACUAAUACUAGGAGCUCAUGACGGUACUGUAAGAAUAAGCACCGGCUAACUACGUGCCAGCCGCCGCCGUAA